rnacentral:lncRNA from 1 species
UCCACAUAACCCUAUUUCUCUUCAAACCAAUGACAUACCACUUGAGCCCAUUUCAACUGAAACCCUAAAAACCAAAACCCAAAACAGAAAACCUCCACUAAGUGAUGAAAAGAGUGACACUGGCAAGAGAUGGCCUAGGGAUGAGGUGUUAGCUCUUAUCAACAUCAGACGCAGCAUCAGUAGCAUAAAUGAUGAUGAUCAUCAUAAAGGUGGGAUCUCAUUAUCAUCAUCAUCCUCUAGAGCUGUUCCUUUGUGGGAAAGAAUAUCCAAGAAAAUGGUGGAGAGUGGGUACAAGAGAAGUGCCAAGAGAUGCAAAGAGAAAUGGGAAAACAUCAACAAAUAUUUUAAGAAGACAAAAGAUGUUAACAAGAAGAGACCACUGGACUCAAGGACUUGUCCUUAUUUUCACCAACUUACAGCUUUGUACAGCCAACCCUCCACUGGGACCACCACCACCGCCACCGACACGUCAACCGGAGAACUGGAAACCCGGGUUGGAUCGGGCGAUCCUGAUGAUAUUCCUGCAGUCAUUCAUGUAGAUGCAAAUGGUGCCGGCGAAAAAAGCAAUGUACAAUUUUCAGGUUUCGAUCUUGCGUUACCAUAAACCUCAAUACAAGAAAUAUAAAUAUAUUACUAGUUUAAUUUCUUUUCUUGUUUUUUCCCCUUUAAAACCUCAUUUUUGGUUAUCAUGGAAAAUUUAAAUAAUAUAUGAAUAAUGUCAUUUACUGUUUUGACGCAUCAGUAGAAACGUAUACGCACUAUUUUAGUUGGACAGUACACGUGCACCGACAAACAGUGAAAUUCAGUUGAACUUGAAUAAACUACUGGUUAAAUUAUGGUUAUGGCAUUUUUAUGAACUUCACACAUGUGACGAGAAUCGAGAUCAGGUUUUUCAAUAAGAAAUGUUGUAAGAAAAAGAAACAGUAUACGGUAAUUCUUCAUGGAAACUUCAUUCAAAUCCAUCCUGUACGUUUUUAUUUGGUGACUAAAGGUGGAGAACGAGCUAGAUGAUGGGUGGGGGACAUGAACAUUAAUAUUAAUACAAGUCGUUUCAGUCUUAAUACUGAUUUAAGAUACCAAAGAUUCAGAAAGGAAAUUUGACAGAAUUAUUUGUCUAUUUUAUUUUUUAUUGUCUUAAUUUCACAUGUGAUUUUGUACAGUUUUAGUGUACGUAAUGUUUUGUUAUAUUCUUGUUUUAUAGGAUAACGAUAAAGAUGAUUCUUGUCAUGUUUUUCUUUUCAACUUCUAUUUACAGCACAUAUUUUGAAAAUUUAUCCCAUUUUGAAACCAUUUUGAAAUGUAUUUUCAUUCAGAAUAAUCAUUCUGAUAUAAAAUCGUAGCGAAACUUGUUAUGCUUGUAUUCGCAUAUCCAUUGUAACUGUGGGACAAUAUACCAAAUAUUUGCGAUUGACUUGUUACUUAGUUUAUCAGUAGCUAAUUAGUCUGUAUUUUUUCUCUAAAUAUUGUUACAGUUACAAUAUGUAGCAAAUGUCAUAACAAAGACGCAUAAACUGGUCGAAUUGUAACCGUACGUGAUGAUAAUAUUUCAUAUUAUGAUAAACAUAAAAUAUCGUAUUAUGAUAAACCUACAUCCCAUAAGUUCACAAUAGUUGGAUGUGUUCACAUUUCACAGUUCACACACACUGUAUUACUUAGCUGUACGAUCAGUUGUUCUUUUAUAGAAUAGUACUUGUUAGGAACCUCGAAGCUCAAUGAUAGAGAUGGCACUAUUGCUGUUAGAGGUAUUAGGUAUAUAUAGAAAUAUUCCACUAAAAUGGUAUCAAAGUCGUAUGAUUCAUAUCCUUCCACAACACGUAAUUCACACACCUAACAAAAAAAUUGAAAACAAAUGAAAAACAAUUAUUCUUAAUGCACGACCGACUAAAAGUAUACAAUGAACAGACAACUUCGGGCUUUUUUUUUUUGUUUAGGAUAAGUUUAGUGGUAGUGUAAGAGAUUUUUCUUUUGUGUGUUCUGAGAUCAAAUCCUUUUUUAAACAAAACUUUUUUGGUACAAAUUUUUAAUAAAAAAUUGUUCUGCUAAAAUUAAAAUUUUAAAAUAAUUCUAAACUUUAAAUUAAAGAGAUUAUGGAUUGAAGUUACACAACUGUGAAAAUCUUCAAAGCAAACUUGUUUUUUUUUCCUCCAUGGAAGAGUACUGCAUAGUUAACAUCAUACUGAUUUGAUAAAAAAAAAUAUCAUACUGAUAAGACAUAAAACAUCAUCCGCAUAUACCUUUCUCUGAUAUUUCACCACGUAUUAUUUUCUUUCAGACAUGCAUAUGGUUUUUCACUCGCUUAAAAUAAUGGGAAUAAUAUGUUACAAACACACCUAAAUGAAUGGUUUUGAAGAAAAAAAAAAUCUAAUCACCGUAAAAUUACAUAUAAUACCUUGAUUUUUUUUUUUUGUAAAAAAUAGGGUAAAUAAUUACCUUAAUCUUAUACUCUAGUUAGAUGCACAUUAUACGUAUUUUUGUUAUAGCUUAGUAUAAUUUUAAGACUGCAUAACUUGACUAUCCUGGUUAAAAAAAGAACUGCAACCAGUUGACUACUUAUAAUAUCAAAUAGACAUAAUAAUUCAGAUUUUUAUUCAGGUUCAAGUGUAUUCUUAUCAAUUUAGAUUGUUAAUUAUCUGAAUAAAAAAAAUAAACGGAUCAAGAUUAAUUCGGUUCUAACUUUUUGAUACAUAUAAGAUGUGAUUGGUAGUGGUUAUAGGAUGCUGUCGAUAAUUCUAUUUAUUUUUACAGUACCAAAUUCAUAUCAAUCAAGUUUUGAUGAAAAAUUUAAAUCAUAAUUCUUAAAAUAACAUACAGUUAUACAAGUGUUAUGUAGAACCAAAUAUUCACAUCAAUUUUUCGGGUUUUCUAUAAAAUCUAAAGCCAUAGUAAAUUUUGCAGUAAAAUUUUUAAAGCUACAGAUAUUACCAAUCGGAUCCAAAAAAAACAAUUUCAUGAUUUCUUUUUAGUUUUCCUUAUAUUCAAUAGAGCAAUGUCUACUGUUCACCUUUGAAAGUGAUGAAUUAACCAAUUAUUUAAGAAAACGAUAUACUAUUAUACAAAAAUAUUUCCAGCGUAAAUAUUAAACAAUUAAUAGACAUUAAAUAGAGUCACAAGAUAUAUAUAUAUAUUUAUUUUAUAUUAAAAAGAAAUAAUAAAGUCGAUUUACGUCUCUCACGGUAACUCUGUCGUUUUCCUCACACUCUCAGAGACAGAGAAGAGAGAGAGAGAGAGAGAGAGAAGCAGAGGUCUCAUGGCGAAGCAGCUUCUUUCCCAGCUUCCUCUCCACAGUCACUACUUCCUCCACUACGGUGCCGUUUUGUAGCUUCUUCUCGGAUAAUGCCACAAUCACAUUCCUCCAGUCUCUCACCGACACUUUCAUAGGUUUGCUCCUCUCACUCACCGCUCUCUCCUCCGCAACGGUGCCGUUUUGAACUCAAGAACUCUUUUUUUCUGUGGUGUUUAAUCGAACAUAAAACAUUUGAUUGGUCUUUUCAUUACCUCAAAAUGUGAGCGAGUAGAAGUGUUUUCAGACCAAUUAUUGUAAUAAAGAUUCGAGCUUUAAACAAGACAAAAAAAAAAAACUAUAUUCCGAUAGAGAAUGGUUCCAAUAUUCUGAAUAAAGCGAAUAGAACAAAAAAGGAAAAAUGAUUUUAGCAUUCUAUUUUAUUCUUGUAAUUUGACAUAACUUUCAAUGUUAAAUAUUGUAAUCUGUUAAAGCUUAAUAUAAACCUCGGAUAGAUUAACAAUGUAGACUAAAAUCAGAAAAUACAUGCUUAAUAUAUUAAUAAUAAAAUGAUUUAGCUUAAUAUUAGCCUCUGUGAUAUUUUUUAUUUUAAAAUUUUAUAUUUAUAUCCCUAUAAAUGAAUAAGAUAGCAAUAUAAAAAGAGAGACCAAAUGGAGAGAGAAAAGUUAGGUUUCGAUGUGAAUAUAGCUAAUUAGUGAAGCAAAAGAAGAAAAAUAAAGAAACAUGUUUGAUGGUGGAGUACCGGAACAGAUCGACCAGUUCAUAGCAUCUCCACAGCCACCUCCUCUGCUUCCGCCGCAUCAACCGGCGACUGAGAGAUCACUUCCUUUUCCUGUCUCAUUCGCUUCCUUUAACUCAAACCAUCAAGCCCAGCAUAUGUUGAGCCUCGAUAGCGGCAAGAUCAUUCAUCAUCAGCAUCACCAUGGCAUCAAAGAUGGUGGUGUUUCUUCUGAGUGGAUAGGUCAUACGGAUCAUGAUGGCCAUAAUCAUCGUCACUUUCAUCAUCCAUGGGGUAGUGAUGAAGUUCUUGCUCUUCUUAGGUUCAGAUCUACGGUGGAGAAUUGGUUCCCUGAAUUUACUUGGGAGCUCACUUCAAGGUAAUACAUAUUCACACACACUCAUACACAUAUGAAAUAUACUUCUAUAUAUAUAUGCACAACCAAUAUUUAUAUAUUUCCAUAUAUGCAUAUGGACAUGAACAUUAAUCUCUUUAGUGUUUUCUUACAUUAGUUUGAUUACAAAUUUUAAAAUCUGCGCUCAAUUACAAGUGAGAAUUCCGGUUACGCAAUAUGAUGAUUUGAUAGGCUACAGAUCUUGUUUUUUGUCGAACAAUCACUUUUGGAAAAUUUAAUUUUAAUGAUGGCAAAUGAUUGGCCACGUAUUUAUACAUAAUUGGCAUUUCUCGAGAAGUUUUAUUAUACAAUGAACUGAAACAUGAACUUAAUGGAUGAUAUAUCAUAUAGGGAAAAAAACUUCAAAUGGUUAUAUGCUUGUAUAUUUUUGGUAUGUGUGUAUAUUUGCAUAAUUAAUGAUGCUAUGUCGUUUAUGGAAUUAUGAUGGCUGUAUAGAAAGUUGGCAGAAGUUGGGUUUAAGAGGAGUCCACAAGAAUGCAAAGAGAAAUUCGAAGAAGAAGAGAGAAGAUAUUUUAAUAGUAACAACAAUACUAAUGAUCAUCACAUCAGUAACUACAACAACAAAGGAAAUUAUAGGAUGUUUAGUGAGGUUGAAGAGUUUUAUCAUCAUGGUCAUAAUGAUGAUGAGCAUGUCUCAUCAGAAGUUGGGGAUAACCAGAACAAGAGGAACAAUUCGCUAAAGGGAAAAGAAAACGUUGAGGAAAUGGGACAUAACUUAUUGGAAGAGGGCAAAAGAGAUCAUCAGGGUCAGGGUCAAGUAGAAGAAUCAUCAAUGGGGAAUAAAAUAAACCCCGUCGAUAAUGUUAGAAACGAAGAUGGUGCAAAGUCAUCAUCAUCAUCAAGCUUGAUGAUGAUCAUGAGGGACAAGAAGAAGAGGAAGAGGAAGAAAAAGAAGGAGAGGUUUGGUGUGUUGAAAGGGUUUUGUGAGGGACUUGUGAGGAACAUGAUAGUCCAACAAGAGGAGAUGCAUAGGAAGCUUCUUGAAGAUAUGGUGAAGAAGGAAGAAGAAAAAAUGGCUAGAGAGGAAGCUUGGAAGACGCAAGAGAUGGAGAGGCUUAACAAAGAGGUAGAGAUUAGAGCAAACGAACAAGCUAUGGCUAGUGAUAGAAACACCAGCAUCAUCAAGUUCAUAUGCAAGUUCACAGGCCAUGAUAACCAUGAUGAUGGAAAUGGUACGGUUCAGAGUCCAAGCCCUUCUCAAGACUCAUCUUCCUUAGUUCUACCAAAAACCCAAGGCAGAAGAAAGUGUCAAACUUCAUCAUCACUAUUACCUCAAGCCCUAACUCCACAUAACCCUAUUUCUCUUCAAACCAAUGACAUACCACUUGAGCCCAUUUCAACUGAAACCCUAAAAACCAAAACCCAAAACAGAAAACCUCCACUAAGUGAUGAAAAGAGUGACACUGGCAAGAGAUGGCCUAGGGAUGAGGUGUUAGCUCUUAUCAACAUCAGACGCAGCAUCAGUAGCAUAAAUGAUGAUGAUCAUCAUAAAGGUGGGAUCUCAUUAUCAUCAUCAUCCUC